rnacentral:rRNA from 1 species
GACGAACGCUGGCGGCGUGCUUAACACAUGCAAGUCGAACGGAAAGGCCCUGCUUUUGUGGGGUGCUCGAGUGGCGAACGGGUGAGUAACACGUGAGUAACCUGCCCUUGACUUUGGGAUAACUUCAGGAAACUGGGGCUAAUACCGGAUAGGAGCUCCUGCUGCAUGGUGGGGGUUGGAAAGUUUCGGCGGUUGGGGAUGGACUCGCGGCUUAUCAGCUUGUUGGUGGGGUAGUGGCUUACCAAGGCUUUGACGGGUAGCCGGCCUGAGAGGGUGACCGGCCACAUUGGGACUGAGAUACGGCCCAGACUCCUACGGGAGGCAGAAGUGGGGAAUAUUGAACAAUGGGCGGAAGCCUGAUGCAGCAACGCCGCGUGCGGGAUGACGGCCUUCGGGUUGUAAACCGCUUUCGCCUGUGACGAAGCGUGAGUGACGGUAAUGGGUAAAGAAGCACCGGCUAACUACGUG